AUAAGGAGAGGCCUGGUGACUGAAGGGGGCUGUUGGGAGUACCUGGUGUUUGCCUAAUUCCGAGCCUUAGCCUACACAAGUGUGCACAUUCCCCCUGAAGGCGGAGCUGGAAGAAUCGGGACUGACCUGCCAGGGUUGGAUUGUGCAGGCUGGCUGGAGUAGCCUGCGAUAAGAAACACCUAGGAGCUCAAGUGGUGCUGAAGCCUUGGACCCCAGCAGACAGCACACCUGGGGGAAUCUGGAAUGCCUGACUGGGGAUGGAUCGGGAGGCUGGCUGAGGUGGCUUCAGGGAUUUGAUAGACCAGGAGCAGAUUGAUGGCCACUCCAGCAUUGCAGUGGGACUACAAAACCAAAGGCAUGAAUCCACUAUGCAUCUUU
rnacentral:lncRNA from 1 species